CGGUCACUGAUGCAGCGGCCGGAUUCGCCGACAUAAAGCCUUCCAUAUUUCAAGCGAAUGGCAUAGAUUACUCCCGUGGAACACUUGGCGAUCAACAUGUCAUGUUUUACCUGACAACCUCUUUUUUUCGAGUUGCAGAUGCGCGGGUAUAAAUGUGCCAGCAUGUUGGAUGCCGAAAAAACAGCGGAUACCCCAUGCCUGUUGCCCACCUUGAGAUCGUGCAUCCGUGGUCACAAGCUGUGGAACCGAGGAGCAAGGCCAGCUUUCCCGUUCGGAAGGCCAGUCCUGUGAAGGCAUUGAACUGCCAAACGUGAGAAAGCUGGCCACGUGCCUCAGUUCAUCCUGCGAUCCCUCACAG